CCUACGGGUGGCAGCAGUGGGGAAUAUUGGACAAUGGGGGAAACCCUGAUCCAGCGACGCCGCGUGUGUGAAGAAGGCCUGCGGGUUGUAAAGCACUUUUAGUGGGGACGCUUAACCCAAAGAAAAAGCACCGGCUAACUCUGUGCCAGCAGCCGCGGUAAUACAGAGGGUGCGAGCGUUAAUCGGAAUUACUGGGCGUAAAGCGCGCGUAGGCGGUUAUGUAAGUCGAGUGUGAAAGCCCCGGGCUCAACCUGGGAACUGCAUUCGAGACUGCAUAACUGGAGUAUGGGAGAGGGCAGUGGAAUUUCGGUGUAGCGGUGAAAUGCGUAGAUAUCUGAAGGAACAUCAGUGGCGAAAGCGACUGCCUGGCCCAAACUGACGCUCAUGUGCGAAAGCGUGGGGAGCAAACAGGAUUAGAUACCCUUGUAGUC
rnacentral:rRNA from 1 species